AAAAAAUUAGUUAAAUAAAUAACGUUAGCCUGUCGCGCUUAAGUUGUCUUAUGGACAUUUUUUU
rnacentral:tRNA from 1 species